GAUUAAUUUUUCCAUUCCUGACAUCUAUGACUGCUCCAGCUGAAGCUAAGAAUGGUCUGCCUAGGAUCAGGGGAUCCUUGCCUUCUUCAUCUACGUCCAAUACCACAAUGUCUGUACGUAUCUCAACAUUUCCAAUCUUGACAGGCAUAUUUUCUAUUAGACCAUGAGGAUGUGCAACAGAACCGUCAGCUAAGAGUAAGGCUAAGUUGCAGAACUUGAAUUCCAUGAUCCCUAGCCUUUUAGCUGUAGAGAGAGGCAUAAGGCUAACAGAUGCUCCCAGAUCACAAAGGCACCUAUUGAAUGUCAAUGGUCCUAGAGAGCAUGAAAGCUGGGAUCAUCAAGCUUUUCUUGGAUGACUUUCUUCUUGUAUGUUUCUUGAGUGGAGGCACUGCUAAUCAUCUCUUGAUUCUGCUCUUUCUUGAGCUUUUUUCGAGAAUGGUGAGUGUUCAGCAAAGGUGUGUGCUCUAUAGUCCAGAUGAAUUGCUGGGUGGCAGGUGCAGCAAUUUGAGUUGAAUCCCCCCCUUCAUGAAUCAUAUUGUCCUCAGUAUUGAGUGUUUGAUGACUUGGUGGAGACUCAUCUUCUUGGUGGAUGGUGAUAGCAUUAGCAGUAGCAUAGUCCUUAGGGUUCUGGACUGCUUUCCCUGGAAGUUGUUGAGGAUUCUUCGGAGCAGAGGUUGAGGCAAAUUGACUCUCCACAUACUUGAUAUUUGAGUUCAGAGCUUCAAACUUGACAUUCAGAUCGUUGUAUGAACAAUCGAUCUUGUUGUGUAAUUCAGCUAUCUUCUUUUCAAAA
rnacentral:sRNA from 1 species